UUUUUCCUAGGGGCAACUUAGGUAGAUACUGUACUUCCGAUUGUAUGUAUAGUUUUUCUUGCAAGUUCUUUCUUUCUUCUGUUUUCUUUGUGUAUACGAAUAUAUGCUCAAGAGCUAUAAUAUAACCUUGCAGUUCCAAUCAGCUGCUGAAGCUUGUCAAUUCACCUAUGGUAGAUGCCCACAGCUAAUGUACAUGAUUUUUUAUACCAUAUAAAUCAAUGAAAAAUUUAACUGUACCCCGUAAUUAAUGAUUUGCUACAAAUUUGCACAUUGCACUAACAGUCAGCCGUCCUCGGUAUCAACCACUGGUAGAAAACUCGCCUUUAGUCCCGGUUGGUAGAGAGAAAAUCUCCCGAAAAUCCAUUCAGGAUAAACCAAUCAAGAUAAAAUGGGGUCUUUAAUCCCGGAUCUUUCAACUGGGAGUAAAGCUACCCUUUAGUCCCGGUUGGUAAAACUAAAUUCCCGUCGAGAUGUUGCUCGAAGCGUCUAAAUUCCGUCCAUCCUAAUAAAAUUCUCCUUGUGCAUUUACCAUCUGUCCAUCAAGAAUCCAACGAGACCUUCACAUAUUGCCGCUACUCUUUCCUUCUUCAAGAGUCCAUGUUGAAUAUUUAACAUCUAUAAUUUGGAAAUAUGAGAAUAUUAUACGAACAAUUAAAUAUAAGAAGCUAGAAAAUAAUUAACUAUUAAUAGUUUUAUUUUACGUACUUUAAAGUUGUGCGGUAUCAUCUUUAGUCCCUUAGGUCCCACAAAACUGUGCAUGUGCUCACAGAUGUAUUAGUCACAUAGAUUAUUCCCGGGUUUCUAUCUUAAGCACUUCAGUGGGGAAAAAAAUAAGUUAUGAAAUAUUCGUGUUAUAGAAUGUACAAAAUGUGCAGACUUCGUACGUACCGGGAAGUCUGUGUUCCAUGUAAGUUUUUGUUUGAAUGGACCUUUGUGUGUCCUGAUGAAUUGUCUCCAUGCGUUGCGGAUUAAAAUAAUGAAUGAUAUAGUGUUAGGUGAAAAUUUAGGAAAUAAACUUUUGCAUAGAGAUAAAGGUCUAGAAUUAUUACAAGCCUAGCAUGUCUUGCAUGUCUCGGUACUCCACCGGAUCUUUUCUCAACGAAUCGAAGACAGUGAUGUGGCUUCUUUCAGGCUCAAUUAUAAUGAGGAUCUAGUGGAAGCUGCGUACGUAAAUGUUCAUAUAUAUUAGAGCUAACUAAUAUUAAUCAGGUAAGAAAAAAUAAAAUGAAAGUAGACGGUACACACACUUACUUGAAGUUGUAUGGAAGUAGUAUGAAAUCCUUGAAUUUUUGUUUGUCUAAGAAAUUGUAUACUUCCACCAAGGUUUUGUCCAGCGCGACCUAUAUCUGUUUUUGGUUAACUACGGAUGGAUCCAUGAAGCCAAUAUAGAGGUAUGCUUCUCGUCGGCACGUCUGAAUUAGCAUCCUACAUAAAAUGGAAGACGAAGUUAGUAUGGUGACGCACGCAAAAAAAAUAAUGAUAUGAGCCAAAAUUUACUUGUAGAUAAACGGACAUUUACAGAACCCAGACGCUGAUCAGAGAGACGUCCAGGGCAUCAUGAUGGUACACUUUGUAUAUAUCCUUUAAUUCUAGCCACAUGACUUCUCGCCUUUGCCGUAAAAAUCUAUCGGUUUUACCUUAAGGCCGAACAUCUCCCUCGAGUCGGCGAAUAUCUUUAUGUACCAUUGAUGGAAUUCGUACAUAUUUGUUGAUAGCUUCCGUACCAACUCAGGCCUUACCAGAGACUUGCCUAGCUCAAAGGUCCAUCUCGGUUCAAUUGGCGGUGCAGCUGGCAGCUCAACUUGUCCUGGACAUUCAUCAACUCUCAUACAUGUUUCUUCCAUGAAUUGCAAUACUUGUGCUUGUUGAUCCAAGGGCAUUGCUGCUAUUUUUUUAGCGUCUUUUUUUGGUAGAUGCCCAAGGUCAGGGACAACACCACUGCAAGAUGACUUUCCUUUCCUUUUUUCCCUCUCAUCAGCCUUGACUAACGCUCGUUCGUAGUUUGAUAGUAGUGGUAUCCUCUUCUUAGCUCCUUCUUCCAUCCUGAUAAAAAAAUUUAAUUAUCUUCGAUUUACUGGUUGUGGUUCCAUCUCCCUUGCUUUUUCUUUCUUCAGCCUGUUUCUUUAACCCCUCCCUAGCCUCUGCUUGGAUUUCGACACACUGUUCCACAUGAGUCAUUGCCUCCCAGCGUUCCUCAUGAGUCACUUCAUGCUCCUUUCUUUUCUUUUUUCUCUAUCUUAGCUUGGGAGGCGGUGGUCGUGACUUCUUAAGUGGUGUUGCAGGUUCCUUCCUCGGGGCUGCUCUUAGUCCCGGCAACGGUGAUCGGGAAGGGGUGUUGUUAUUGUCAUCGUCACUCCCACCACCAGGAUGUGGUAGAGAUGGAGACCUUGAUCGAACAAGAAGCGACGGUCCUAGAGCAGGUUGUGCUGGAGAUGACGGUCUUGAGCUUUGAGAAGAUGGUCGCUGCUGGGGA
rnacentral:lncRNA from 1 species